UUAAGCGACUAAGCGUACACGGUGGAUGCCCUGGCAGUCAGAGGCGAUGAAGGGCGUGCUAAUCUGCGAUAAGCGCCGGUAAGGUGAUAUGAACCGUUAUAACCGGCGAUACCCGAAUGGGGAAACCCAGUGUGAUUCGUCACACUAUCAUUAACUGAAUCCAUAGGUUAAUGAGGCGAACCGGGGGAACUGAAACAUCUAAGUACCCCGAGGAAAAGAAAUCAACCGAGAUUCCCCCAGUAGCGGCGAGCGAACGGGGAGGAGCCCAGAGCCUGAAUCAGCAUGUGUGUUAGUGGAAGCGUCUGGAAAGGCGCGCGAUACAGGGUGACAGCCCCGUACACAAAAGCGCAUGUGCUGUGAGCUCGAUGAGUAGGGCGGGACACGUGGUAUCCUGUCUGAAUAUGGGGGGACCAUCCUCCAAGGCUAAAUACUCCUGACUGACCGAUAGUGAACCAGUACCGUGAGGGAAAGGCGAAAAGAACCCCGGCGAGGGGAGUGAAAAAGAACCUGAAACCGUGUACGUACAAGCAGUGGGAGCACCCUUCGGGGUGUGACUGCGUACCUUUUGUAUAAUGGGUCAGCGACUUAUAUUCUGUAGCAAGGUUAACCGUAUAGGGGAGCCGGAGGGAAACCGAGUCUUAACCGGGCGUUAAGUUGCAGGGUAUAGACCCGAAACCCGGUGAUCUAGCCAUGGGCAGGUUGAAGGUUGGGUAACACUAACUGGAGGACCGAACCGACUAAUGUUGAAAAAUUAGCGGAUGACCUGUGGCUGGGGGUGAAAGGCCAAUCAAACCGGGAGAUAGCUGGUUCUCCCCGAAAGCUAUUUAGGUAGCGCCUCGUGAAUUCAUCUCCGGGGGUAGAGCACUGUUUCGGCUAGGGGGCCAUCCCGGCUUACCAACCCGAUGCAAACUGCGAAUACCGGAGAAUGUUAUCACGGGAGACACACGGCGGGUGCUAACGUCCGUCGUGAAGAGGGAAACAACCCAGACCGCCAGCUAAGGUCCCAAAGUCAUGGUUAAGUGGGAAACGAUGUGGGAAGGCCCAGACAGCCAGGAUGUUGGCUUAGAAGCAGCCAUCAUUUAAAGAAAGCGUAAUAGCUCACUGGUCGAGUCGGCCUGCGCGGAAGAUGUAACGGGGCUAAACCAUGCACCGAAGCUGCGGCAGCGAACGUAUCACCCAAGACAACUUUACGGAGUUGACGAUUGACGGAGCGAAGCGACGUCAAAGCGUUCAUUAAAGUCGAGUUGGCUUAGGGAUACGUUCGUUGGGUAGGGGAGCGUUCUGUAAGCCUGUGAAGGUGUGUCGUGAGGCAUGCUGGAGGUAUCAGAAGUGCGAAUGCUGACAUAAGUAACGAUAAAGCGGGUGAAAAGCCCGCUCGCCGGAAGACCAAGGGUUCCUGUCCAACGUUAAUCGGGGCAGGGUGAGUCGACCCCUAAGGCGAGGCCGAAAGGCGUAGUCGAUGGGAAACGGGUUAAUAUUCCCGUACUUGGUGUUACUGCGAAGGGGGGACGGAGAAGGCUAUGUUGGCCGGGCGACGGUUGUCCCGGUUUAAGCGUGUAGGUGUGUGUUCCAGGUAAAUCCGGUUCACUUUAACACUGAGGCGUGACGACGAGGCACUACGGUGCUGAAGCAACAAAUGCCCUGCUUCCAGGAAAAGCCUCUAAGCAUCAGGUAACACGAAAUCGUACCCCAAACCGACACAGGUGGUCAGGUAGAGAAUACCAAGGCGCUUGAGAGAACUCGGGUGAAGGAACUAGGCAAAAUGGUGCCGUAACUUCGGGAGAAGGCACGCUGACACGUAGGUGAAGUGAUUUACUCAUGGAGCUGAAGUCAGUCGAAGAUACCAGCUGGCUGCAACUGUUUAUUAAAAACACAGCACUGUGCAAACACGAAAGUGGACGUAUACGGUGUGACGCCUGCCCGGUGCCGGAAGGUUAAUUGAUGGGGUCAGCGCAAGCGAAGCUCCUGAUCGAAGCCCCGGUAAACGGCGGCCGUAACUAUAACGGUCCUAAGGUAGCGAAAUUCCUUGUCGGGUAAGUUCCGACCUGCACGAAUGGCGUAAUGAUGGCCAGGCUGUCUCCACCCGAGACUCAGUGAAAUUGAACUCGCUGUGAAGAUGCAGUGUACCCGCGGCAAGACGGAAAGACCCCGUGAACCUUUACUAUAGCUUGACACUGAACAUUGAGCCUUGAUGUGUAGGAUAGGUGGGAGGCUUUGAAGUGUGGACGCCAGUCUGCAUGGAGCCGACCUUGAAAUACCACCCUUUAAUGUUUGAUGUUCUAACGUGGACCCGUAAUCCGGGUUGCGGACAGUGUCUGGUGGGUAGUUUGACUGGGGCGGUCUCCUCCUAAAGAGUAACGGAGGAGCACGAAGGUUGGCUAAUCCUGGUCGGACAUCAGGAGGUUAGUGCAAUGGCAUAAGCCAGCUUGACUGCGAGCGUGACGGCGCGAGCAGGUGCGAAAGCAGGUCAUAGUGAUCCGGUGGUUCUGAAUGGAAGGGCCAUCGCUCAACGGAUAAAAGGUACUCCGGGGAUAACAGGCUGAUACCGCCCAAGAGUUCAUAUCGACGGCGGUGUUUGGCACCUCGAUGUCGGCUCAUCACAUCCUGGGGCUGAAGUAGGUCCCAAGGGUAUGGCUGUUCGCCAUUUAAAGUGGUACGCGAGC
rnacentral:rRNA from 1 species